rnacentral:rRNA from 1 species
GCGAAGCGAUAAGUUAUCCACCUGGGAGUACGUUCGCAAGAAUGAAACUCAAAGGAAUUGACGGGGCCCGCACAAGCGGAGGAACAUGUGGUUUAAUUCGAUGAUACGCGAGGAACCUUACCCGGGCUCGAACGGUAGACGAACGAUACAGAGAUGUAAAGGCCCUUCGGGGCGUCUAUCGAGGUGCUGCAUGGUUGUCGUCAGCUCGUGCCGUGAGGUGUCGGCUCAAGUGCCAUAACGAGCGCAACCCUUGUCAGUAGUUACCAGCAUGUGAAGAUGGGGACUCUACUGAGACUGCCACCGCAAGGUGAGAGGAAGGGGGGGAUGACGUCAAAUCAGCACGGCCCUUACGUCCGGGGCGACACACGUGUUACAAUGGCGGCCACAGAGGGAAGCCACCUGGCGACAGGGAGCGAAUCUCGAAAAGCCGUCUCAGUUCGGAUCGGAGUCUGCAACCCGACUCCGUGAAGCUGGAUUCGCUAGUAAUCGCGCAUCAGCCAUGGCGCGGUGAAUACGUUCCCGGGUCUUGUACACACCGCCCGUCAAACCAUGAGAGCUGGUAAUACUCGAAGUCGUUAUCCUAACCGCAAGGGGGGAGACGCCUAAGGUAGGACUGGUGAUUGGGGUU